GAACUGCUGCUGUUGCAAUAGAAGACAAAUUGAAAUCAGAUCAGAAAGACGAGCAAAGAAGAGAGUGAAUAUUGGAUGGUGACGACAUAAAAACAGACGCUCAUGUCAAGCUUGAUGAGGAUUUAGUCCAAGCUUUGAAAGACUCUGUGAUGAAGAAAUUUUCAAAUACCACAGUGUCUGAAUUGCAAGCCCUCAGAUGCAGGAAAUGUCGUACUCA